UCCCCAGUGGCUCAGUGGUAAAGAAUCUGCCUGCAAUGCGGAAGACCUGGGUUUGAUCCCUGGGUUGGGAA
rnacentral:tRNA from 1 species